rnacentral:rRNA from 1 species
GGGUGAAUCUUCCGCAAUGGACGAAAGUCUGACGGAGCAACGCCGCGUGAGCGAUGAAGGCCUUCGGGUCGUAAAGCUCUGUUGUUAGGGAAGAACAAGUGCUAGUUGAAUAAGCUGGCACCUUGACGGUACCUAACCAAAAAGCCACGGCUAACUACGUGCCACCACCCGCGGUAUUUAAAAAAA